rnacentral:lncRNA from 1 species
AGGUGUGCGGACUUCUGUUCAGGUAUGGAUAAAAAGAUAAGUAGGGGUCCAACACAGAAAUGGAGGUGAUGUAGGCCAAACAAAGAAGGAGGUAAGAACAGAGGGAGAUCAGUUCCCCAAAGGCAGCCCUGAUCAUAUCCAAUGGACAGCUGGCACACUUUCUCACUUGAUGAAGGUUACUGGUCCUGCAAUUUCCUUUUUCCUGUGCUCUCCUGCCUGUGUGGAUAUCAUGAGAAAGAAUGUGUUGAGCAGAGACAGAUAGGUUCAGUCACUAAGCACUCUUUUCUCUUAAAGCAGUACUAGGUACGUAAGCUCUUAAAUAUGCCUUAAAUUAAACCUUGCUUUUAUGUAGCCUUGUCUUUGGCAGAAGGUGGUGGAGAAGCAGAAAAAAGAAGAGGUUGUGUUGAUUCAAGAAGCCUCCACAGAUGCCUGUCAUGUACUCUGGAAAACUUCCCCGUGACUGAUCACCUUACUAUUCUGUAUUUGCUGAGAUUUAAGAGACAAUAACAUCUAAUGCAGAUAAAAUUACACGCUGAUAAUGAAGAACAGGUUAGUAAAGUCUUAGUUAAUUACUAUUUUCAGUUCAGUUCACUGUCAAUUAAUUAUAUUACCAUGCAGUAAGCUAGCAUAUGCCCGCUCCCAAUUGGUUCAAUACUUCAGC